UUAGAUUGAUUCACGCGCGAUGUAUUCUCUGUCGUUCUACCUAUUUGUGUUUGCUAGUGCUCUUAUCAAGCUAAGUUAAAGAACAUAAUCACGUCACUGCAAACGGGGUGAACGUUACAACUUUCCUCCCAGUACCACCGUCUGCGUCGUUCUACACUUCACUUCAGGAGGCCAUCAUGACCCGCCGGAUUAUCCGAACACAGGACUACCCCGUGGACUUUUCUUGUACGGAGCCGGAGAUAAGCGCAUUGUCGUAGCAUUCUACACUGUUUACUACCUCACACGGACCAUCAUUCACCUAAUGGACAUGUUUUGGGAGUUGUUGCUGUCUGCCUGGCGUUUUAUCUUCCGUUGUACUGUCAUACUUUUCUACUUGACUCUACCAGUUGAAGUUCCCCUUGCCACCAUGCUAAAACUUCAAGCACAUGAUCGAUGUACUUCCAACCAGGAGACGGGCGUUUCAAAUUCAAAUCAAGGCUACUGAACUAGACUCGACAAAAUUUAUGAAAAAAAUAUCGGAUGUCACAGGAAUGCCGAAGACUUCGUUCAAAAUAUUCACGGCCGGCAAAAAAGGGUCGUCAUCCUUGUCAGGGAGGAUCUAGAAGUAGGACCACAGCGACCAAACCAGCAUUCAAGAACAACAGGUGAUUCGACUGUUCAUGGCGAGGAGACAUGUGACUGCGGAGACGCUUGCAACUGUCACACUUCCACGUCAAACAAAGAGGAGAACUGUGAUAUUCCAGUGGGUUGCAUCAAAGAUGCUAUUCGAUCAAAACGUGCGUUCGCUGACGAUGUGCCGUCUUGAGUGCCGUUCAAAAGGAAUUGGAACCUUUUUCAUGGACCGAGACCCCGUGCAGCAAGAUUCUCCAACACGUCACCUACACGCUUUGAAUCCUCCCCACUACGACCGAUGCCCCGUUCUCGCACACUGUCUAAACCGUCCACAUUGCAACCUGUAUAUUACGUCAAGUACAUGUGAUUUCGGUUUGACUACAUUUUUCCACGAACAAUACAUUCAAUGGCUUAAUCAUAUUGUGCUAGGGUACUGCCAUAUGAUAUUUGUAACACCAUAAUUCUUGAAAUGUGUAAUCCAAGAUGUAGUGAAGUUGUGAUGUCACAUGUUGCCAGUAGUCUCUGAUUGUUCUUUCUCUCGUGUCCAUGUUUGACCACUGAGUUUAUACCGCAAACGUUUACACAUCGAAUUGUAUCGAGCACAAGCUGAACUUGAAUCGUUUGAUAAGGGCCAUGUGGAUUUAAAACUUGUAAUAAGAGCUAUCAGUAACAAACGAAUAGCUUGAAAUACUUUGCUGACAAAUGUGCAACAAGGCAUUGCUAAAAUACAACCGAUGAUUAGCCAUAUAAUAUAUACAAGUAUAAUCAAGCUAGAUAUAAACUGUAAAGGGUCCAUCCCUCUGUACAUUGCACCAUUUGUAUUGUAACCAGUAGUUUUACGUCUUCAGUUGUAUAGUUUUGCCUUUUUCCUUGCCAAUCAAUACACCUAAUUGCAAUGGACUAAGAGUGCGUAAUUUGCGUAUGUAUGUGUGUGUGAUUGCUGAUUAUAUUUGCAUAUUUAUAUUUAUAUUUAAGAUUUAUCCCAGCUACUGACAGGUCGACCGAGCAAACCUACUGGCUUACCCCAAAUACUAGCUGGGCGAUCGCCCCCAACUACUAGCAGGGCGAUCGCCCCCAACUACCAGCAGGGCGAUCGCCCCCAAGUACUGACAGGGCGAUCGCCCCCAACUACAGGCAGGGCGACCACCCAAAGCUACCAACAGGGCGAUCGCCCCGGACUACAGGCAGGGCGAUCGCCCCCAAGUAUCCUUCACUUUUGUGAAAUCAAGACGACACGACUGGACAAUUCAGACUUUGUACGGGGCAAUCGCCCCCACAAGUCACUAUUCCCAGGACUCGAGUGUCUUGAAAAGUUGCAUUCUAAUCCAAUAUGGCUUGAUUUUCAAAAAAUUUCGCACUGCGUUUUCUGAUUAUCAAGUCG